rnacentral:lncRNA from 1 species
GUCUGGAUCGAGCAGCAGCUUUGCGAGGGUAAAAAAUAACCUUGACCAGAGAGAUGUGGCUCAAAAAAAAAUUUUCUAGGCACUAGAUAUUAAAACUGAAUUUAAGAUCAGAAAAGAAAUCAGAAGAUUGAGAGGUUUUUCUCCCGAAGUGGUUACGCCAAACUGUCAAGAUUAAAAUUUAGGGGAGACUGAGGCAGGUAGAAAUUAGUUUUUCUCUGCAAGGAGGAUUACAUUUUUAGAGGUUUAUUAAAAGUUAAGGAUUAAAGAAAAUACAGGAUAAGGAAAACGUGCCUGGGCCAAGGGAGGCUGCCUGGGCGUCUGCUCUUCCCUCUGCCCUUUUCACCCUCCGAGGUCAUGUGUUGGGGGGGGGGCCUUGCUCGGGGCAGAGCUUUAAGCCCAGAGAAGCGCUUCUAGGAAGGCCCUUCAUCAGCGGAGCAAGUGGCACCGAGGUGGGGAUUUGAGCUAAAAGCGGCUUCUUUGCUUUUCCCCUUCCUGUUCCUCUAGGUCAGCUCCAUACAGAGCCAGAUGCAGUCCAAAGGAGGCUAUGGUGGGGGGAUGCCUUCCAAUGGCCAGAUGCAGCUGGUGGAGACAAAGGCCAGAUAACCCUGGGAGUCCCUCGAGUUCGUGUGAAUUUCCGGAUCUCGUCUACUGUUUUGGGGUUUUUGAUUUGGAGAUUUGGGGCUUUGGGAGUUGUUUUCUGGUUUGGAAUUGGGGCGCGCGGGCUGAGCCUGCUUCACGUGUUCAUUUUGAGAAAGAAAUGGGCCGGGACCGCGUUCAUCCUCUCGUGACGGCUCUGGUGACGUUUCUCUGCCGUGCUCCAAAGACGCUGAAGUGGAUCUCGUCGUCCUUCCAGCGGCGUGCGUGCGUCUGGCUUCCCCCGCACCGUGACUAUAGAGUAGCCCGGCUUGCGGUGUUCUGUCUUAGGCGUAUUCUCAAGGCCUAUCCGGUAGGCGACUGGCUUUAGCAUCUGCCCCUCGUUUCCUCUAAACCGUCUGUCCCAGCACUUUUCUUGUCCUGACUUCGGUCCCGGGCAUGCCAGAGAAGGUUGGUCUCUGGACAAGCACGAUGACCCUUUCUCCUCUUGUUGGAAGCCCGGCUGAGCCCCUGGGCUUGAGGAAGCCGCCAAGUUUUCCGGGUGGCCCCCACUCUCUCGGCAUCACAGCAAAGAUCGCUUGUCACAGCUGCUUUCCAUCGGCGUCCCUUUUUGUUCUCUGCCAUUUUGAAACGAAACAAAGCUGGCGUUCAGAAGACACGACGUUGUAAAUGUUGAGUAUGUUUAUUUUUAAAGGACACCGUCAAGCCUGCAAAGAGCAGAUGAGUGCUUCCAUCCAUGCUCUCUCUUUUCCCUUCUCCUCCCUGCUGUCUUCUUUUAUGUUCCUCCUUAGACUGCCCGUCAUCAGGAACUGCUCCCCACACAGUUGGCAGGCUUGGGUUUUUCAUCUAGCUGUAUUCAGGUCAGCUUACGUUGCUCAUAGCAACGCGCUGACUUGGCAGAAAAGAAACUUGAAAACAACUCACAGGGUCACUUUUUACUCUUGAGAGGCGAGAAGCCUUUUGCUCAGGUUCCAAAGUACGUGAAUAUUGCACUGUCUCCAGAUUCUAGAGCUGAUUCUUCUCCCCUUCCUCAUCCCCACGUCUUGCUAUCACGGUUGUCAGAAUAGAGUCGUUGGUUUGAUUUUCUGUGGAUUUCUUUCAAAAGCACGUGCCCAAUCCAGCUCCUCCAUGCCUGCCUGUGAUCGAACAGUAGGGUAACCCGAGUACCCCCACCAGCCUGGAAAUAAACGGAUGGGAAGAAGGAAAUGUCUUCUGUUG